AAUUAAUGCUUAUUAUAAAACUUUGUUAACCUGAUUACUUACAUAUUUUUUGACGUGGUCGUUUCAUAGAUUUUUUUUUUUUUUUUUUAAUAUGGAAUGUUUCAUGUCUCUCUAUAUAUAGACCUAGUUUCCUUGCAUAUUCCACCAUCAGUCUCUCAAAACAUCACUCCCAAGAAGAGCUAAAGCUAGCUAAGAUAUCACCUCUUAAUUAGCUUCUCUUUGCAAUUCUCAUGGAUUCCUCAUCAUUGUCUUCCAUUGAAUCUCUUGUCAAUGAGAUCAAGAAAGAGUUAUUGAUCUCAAACCAAGAUUUUAACAACACUUUUGUUACCCAAACAUCUGCCUAUGACACUGCUUGGUUGGCCAUGAUUCCUUAUAAUAAUCAAGAAGCCAAUGGUCCUAUGUUUGAGAGUUGUCUAAAUUGGAUUCUCAACAACCAAAAUGAGCAAGGGUUUUGGGGUGAACCCAAUGGUGAAAAUCUUCCCACCAUUUAUGCUCUCCCUACUACUCUUGCUUGCAUGAUAGCACUCAAGAAAUGGAAUGUGGGUGAAAGCCACGUAAGGAAAGGGCUGAAGUUUAUUCAUGCAAAUACGGAUGCACUUUUGAAGGAGAAUUCUCAACGUUUCCCACUUUGGUUUACCAUUGUUUUUCCUUCAAUGCUUCAACUUGCAAAAGCACAAGGCCUCGAUACUAUUCUUGUUAAUGGAUCAAACGGAUUGUUAUCUGACGUCUUCAUGAAGAAGAAAGCAAUUCUUGAGAGUGAAAAACUCAAUGGUCUGAGAGCAGGGCAAGAUCAACCCAUUUUGACAUAUUUGGAGAGCUUAUCACACAGUGAUAAUUGUAUUGUUAAUGAAGAAAUUGAAGUCCUCAAACACUUAUGUGAAGAAGAUGGUUCUUUGUUCCAAUCUCCCUCUGCCAUAGCACAAGCAUUCAUGGCUACUGGAAGUACAAAAUGCCUUGAGUAUCUCAUGUCCAUUGUUCAGAAGUGUCCCAAUGGAGUGCCUUCAAGAUUUCCAGUGGAUGAAGAGCUAGAAAUGCUUUGCAUGGUUGAUAACAUACAAAGAAUGGGAGUAGCUCUGCACUUUGAGAAAGAGAUUCAACAAAUUCUUGACCAAGUUUACAAGAAUUAUCAAACGAACUUGCAAACUAAUGAGUACGUAUCACCAGAAACAAGUGAUUUGCCUGAGAGAUUAUUCAAGGAUUCAUUGGCUUUUAGGCUUCUCAGAUUGCAAGGCUACAAAAUAAAUCAAGGGAGUUUUUGUUGGUUUCUUAAUCAACCGCACACAAGGGCCUACAUGGAAAAGAACCAAGAACAGUUUGCAUAUGUGAUGUACAAUGUGUACAGAGCCACAGAUCUAAUGUUCAAUGGAGAAUCUGAAAUGGAAGAAGCAAGAUCUUUCUCCAGAAAUUUUCUUGUAAACAAUGACAAUUUAUCAGUACCUCCAGCACUUCAAAAAUUGAUUGAACAUGAGUUGAAUGUUCCAUGGUUUGCUCGACUUGAACACCUUGACCACAGAUUGUGGAUUGAAUUAAAUCAAUCUCUCCGUCACACAAUUGGAAAAUCCCCAUAUUAUUGGUUGUCUUAUCUGCAAAAUGACAAGUUAAUGCAGCUAGCCGUGCAAAAUUAUGAAUAUCGGCAGUCAAUUUACAGGAAGGAAUUGGAAGACCUAAAGAGCUGGUCGAAAGAGAAGGGCCUUGUAGGCAUUGGAUUUGGGAGAGAAAAAACUACUUAUUCUUAUUUUGCAAGUGCAGCAAGCAGCAGUAGUUUUCUACCUUAUGAAUCUUUUCUUCGAUUAGUUGUUGCAAAAUGUUCCAUAGUUAUUACUGUAGCUGAUGAUUUUUAUGAUGAGGAAGCCUCUUUAAGUGAACUCCAAAUAUUAACUGAGGCAAUACAAAGGUGGGAUGCAAAGACCCUUGAUGGCCCAAGUAAGAUCAUAUUUGAAGCUCUUGAUGAUCUUGUGUGCGAUGUUGCCAAAAUGUACCACCUUCAACACAAAAUUGACAUCACCCCACAACUACAACACAUGUGGAAGGAGACAUUUCAUUCAUGGAUGAUGGAAAGCAUGUGGAGUCGAACUUCAAAUUUGCCAUCUAUGGAUGAAUAUCUAAAAGUUGGGAUGAUAUCAAUUGGUGCACAUAUUUUGGUCCUUCAUGCAGCUUCCCUUGCAUGUCCAACAGUGCCAAGUGAAAAGCUUGGGCCAAUUAAUGGACACUAUGAAAAUAUUACAAAGUUGCUCAUGGCCACCACGCGUUUUUUGAAUGACAUCCAAAGCUAUCAAAAAGAAAGAGAAGUAGGGAAGAUGAACUACACAUUACUUCACUUGAAUGAAAACCCUGAGGGACACAUUGAAGAUUCAAUUGAUUUUAUAAAAAAGAUCUUGGGAGACAAGAAGAAAGAGUUUCUUGAAAAUGUCCUAAUGGAUAGGUCCAAUGACAUGCCAAGGACAAUGAAGCUCCUUCACCUUUCUUGCCUAAAUGUGUUCCACAUGUUCUUCAAUUCUUGCAAUUUGUUUGAUACACAAACAGCAAUACUUGAAGACAUAAUGAAAGCUAUUUACAUUCCUCUUCAGCAAGAACAACAAACUCCUAUGCCACCACCUUCAAAGCCUUUGCCACCAAUGUUACCACCUCAAGAAAAGAAGAUUGAGAUUGCCAAAUUCAAUGCAUGUCUCAAUGGAAAAAACUUCAAACAACAAGUUGGUAAUAUUGGCAUUGGCAUAAGCUUUGUUGGAAGGCAAGCUCCUAAGAAUUAUAAUUCUUUUGGUUGGUUUACAAAAGGGUUUGCUUCUCAAAAGUUAAGAUCGUGCUUCCUGUGAUUGUCAGAAACAUCUUGAAACCGUUGUUGAUUAUUGUUGUUAUUGUUGUAUAAUAUGUAAUAUUAUUUCCAACAAUAUGAAUGUACGGGAGUCCGACAUUGUAAAUUGAUUGUAAAAGUAACUCUUGCUAGGAUUGGGAAUCACUCUUUUAAUAUUGAAAUUGUAAUAAUAAGAUAUAUCAUGUUUCAAGCAUUCUUUAGCAUUCUACUUUUCUUCUUUACCUUAUACUAUCAAAUUUAUAAGGCAUUGGCAUACAUUUUGCUGAAAGGCAAUCUCCUAAGAAUUAUAAUAAUCCUCUUGGUUGGUCUGCAAAAGGGUUUGCUUCACAAAAGCUAAGGUCACGUUUACUGUGAUCGUCAGAAACA